rnacentral:rRNA from 1 species
AGCGAACGCUGGCGGCGUGCCUAACACAUGCAAGUCGAACGUGAACGGCUUCGGCCUAGUAAAGUGGCGUACGGGUGAGUAACACGUAGGUAAUCUACCUGAGAGUCUGGAAUAACCUGCCGAAAGGCGGGCUAAUACUGGAUAGAGCGACGGAAUCCGUAAUUGGGUUUUUCGGGAAAGGGAGCAAGCAAUUGCCCUCGCUUUCAGAUGAGCCUGCGUCCCAUCAGCUAGUUGGUGAGGUAAAAGCUUACCAAGGCAAUGACGGGUAGCUGGUCUGAGAGGAUGAUCAGCCACACUGGAACUGAAACACGGUCCAGACUCCUACGGGAGGCAGCAGUGGGGAAUCUUGCGCAAUGGACGAAAGUCUGACGCAGCCACGCCGCGUGAGUGAAGAAGGCCUUCGGGUUGUAAAGCUCUGUCGGGCGGGACGAAAAUGCUUACGGUGAAUAGCCGUAGGUACUGACGGUACCGCCAAAGGAAGCACCGGCUAACUCCGUGCCAGCAGCCGCGGUAAUACGGAGGGUGCAAGCGUUGCUCGGAAUUAUUGGGCGUAAAGGGCAGGUAGGUGGUCUCAUUUGUCAGGGGUGAAAGCCUUGGGCUUAACCCAAGAAGUGCCUCUGAAACGGUGAGACUAGAGUUCUGGAGAGGUGAGUGGAAUUCCCGGUGUAGCGGUGAAAUGCGUAGAGAUCGGGAGGAACACCAGAGGCGAAGGCGGCUCACUGGACAGCAACUGACACUCAACUGCGAAAGCGUGGGGAGCAAACAGGAUUAGAUACCCUGGUAGUCCACGCCGUAAACGAUGGGUACUCGAUUUGGUGGGUCUUGACCCCCGCCGAGUCUUAGCUAACGCGGUAAGUACCCCGCCUGGGAAGUACGGUCGCAAGACUA